UCCAAACCGCUUGUUCUUACCCCAAACAGCGCGUACUACUCUCUGAGCCAUGAUCGCCUGACAGCGGUCUGCCUUGGGAAACGGAUUUCCCCGGAUUUCGCAAUGACCAGCGGCUCGAAGGAGUCCAUGAGAUUUGAUAUCUGGUUUGCGAAAAGAAAAUUCUUGGAAAACCUUCUGCCGAACAAAUGCGUUGCAUUUUGAGACAAAACGCAUUUGUCUCAAAAGAAUUGCUCUGCGUAACCAGCUUGGCCGCUGUUCAUGAUCAAAUAAUUUCGUAAGUAAGCGAUAUUGUGUAGUUUACUUCAGGCGUCGCCUUAUUGGGGGAUUAAGGUGGUGACCGGAUUUUUCGUCCAGAACGCAGGGCUCAGGACGGCUCAGGCAUGAUUUAAGCAAUACGCAGCAGUGAAUGCAGGCUUAUGCUAUUCCAUCCAUGCAACCCUGGCCUAGCGUGCACCCGAACAUGUGACAUGAGCUGACUGCGUUGCAUUUCCUUUCCAUUAGGCCUGCACAAUGUGUGCACUUCACGUGACUGCAGGCGUUGGCCGUGUAAUAAUUAUGGACAGCAUGAGCCGUGGACGCCUCUCGUAGUUGUCCUGUAGUUGCACUGUUUUUGACCGGUUGGUCAAUACUUCCGGGUCAACGACUGCCAAAAGCAUCAUCUGCAACUGUUCAGACACUUAGAAUUG
rnacentral:lncRNA from 1 species